ACGACUAUCAGAUCAGUUUGUUCGUCCUACAAAUGCUAAUGAUUGGAUUUUUAAAGUCGGUGUUUGCCACCCCUUCUUCCCGCCGCCCUGCCGCCUUCGGGUCGCUCGGGCAGAGCCAAAGGCGCCGCGGGACUCGCGAGCUCCCCUCCGCGCUGGCUGCAGCGGCGAUGCAGGGCAUGCCUGGCCGGGCCGGGGACUGCCUCGCUGCCGGGGCAGGGACCUCGCAGGCCGGCGCGCGGAGGCGAGGAGCCCUCCCAGCGCCAUCGACUCACUUACCCGCGGAGAGGCGAUGGCGCGCGGCUCACCAGCCCGGGGCCCAGAUCCGAGGAGGAGGGGCAGCGGCGCGGGGACCCGGUGGCGGGUGGCGUUUAAUGCAUUCAAAAGGAUUAAUAUCAUACAGCGCCAUUUGAUAAUGUCCAAGCACACAGAUGCCACAGAAGAGGUACUAUUGGAAAAAAAAGGUUGUGCAGGAGUCAUAACACUAAACAGACCAAAGUUGCUAAAUACAUUGAAUGUUAAUAUGAUUCAGCAGAUUUAUCCACAGCUAAAGAAGUGGGAACAAGAUCCUGAAACUUUCCUGAUUAUUAUAAAGGGAGCUGGAGAAAAGGCUUUCUGUGCUGGGGGUGAUAUCAGAGUGAUCUCGGAAGCUAAAAACGCAAACCAGGAGUUAGCUCCAGUUUUCUUCAGAGAAGAAUAUAUGCUGAACAAUGCUAUUGCUUCUUGCCAGAAACCUUAUGUUGCACUUCUUCAUGGAAUUACAAUGGGUGGGGGAGUUGGUCUUUCAGUCCAUGGGCAAUUUCGAGUGGCUACAGAAAAGUGUCUUUUUGCCAUGCCAGAAACAGCAAUAGGACUGUUCCCUGAUGUGGGCGGAGGUUAUUUCUUGCCACGACUUCAAGGAAAACUUGGUUACUUCCUGGCAUUAACAGGAUUCAGACUAAAAGGAAGAGAUGUGUACAGAGCGGGAAUUGCUACACACUUUGUAGAUUCUGAAAAGUUGGGCAUGUUAGAGGAAGAUUUGUUAGCCUUGAAAUCUCCUUCAAAAGAAAAUGUUGCAGCUGUCUUAGAAAAUUACCAUACAGAGUGUAAGAUUGAUCGAGACAAGUCUUUUACACUUGAGGAACACAUGGACAAAAUUAACAGUUGUUUUUCAGCCAAUACUGUGGAACAGAUUAUUGAAAACUUACAGCAAGAUGGUUCAUCUUUUGCCCUAGAGCAGUUGAAGGUAAUUAAUAAAAUGUCUCCAACAUCUCUAAAGAUCACACUAAGGCAACUCAUCGAGGGGUCUUCAAAGACCUUGCAAGAAGUACUAACUAUGGAGUAUCGGCUGAGUCAAGCUUGUAUGAGAGGUCAUGACUUUCAUGAAGGCGUCAGAGCUGAAACUAGGAGAACUUCAGGUUUGUAAGAACAAAAAGCCAGCAGAACUGAAAAAGACAUUAAAGAUCAUGUCCUGCACCUUCUCAUAGAUGAAGAAAUGGCAGCCCAGAAGUUGCCACCUGGAGGUUCUUGGUUGUGCUGGUAAAAGCUCAUUUGCCCUUACACUGGAUGUUGCAAAGGUUUCCCUCUCCAGGAGCUAGUAAGUCUUUCAGUUAUCCGUUUUAUAUGUCUCCUGGCUUCUCAGGCAGUCCUUCCAUUCUCUUUUAUUGUUCAUGAAAGACCUUCAAAUUGAAGUAAAGCCAGUAUUUCAAUAUAAAGAUCUGAAAGAAGGCUAAUAUCCUAUCAAUGAUACUCUCAUCUGUCUUGUCAUGAAGGCCAACCUAUAUCAUGAUAAUUAUCACAUGUAAUGUAAAUUUGUUUGUUCAUCUCUCUCAUUCAUUUAGUCGUCUUUUUUAUUCAUUUGUUUAUUCAUCUCUUUCUCUCCCAUCUUGAUUUAUCCACUAACUCACUGAUUAUGCAAGAUUUGUAGUUCAUGUAUGUCAUGGGAUGAUGUAUAAUACAGCAUGUAUUUCAAAGAUAAGUCUUUUGGAAAUAUUGUACACAAGAUAGCAUACUCUAUUAAAAUGUGAAUCAGGAACAAGGGAAUGGUGCUUGGUGAUAAAACUAUACUAUCAUAGUUGCUGAGAGAGGGCAGGAACAGAGAUUAGACUUCCAGCUGAUAUGGAUCCGGCAGGUAUCCCUGUUACUCCCUGGGGAAAUAGGGGUCCAGGGCAGAGAAGAAACCUGAAAUUAAAAAGCUUAGAUACAGGCAAAACUCACUCGUCUCUGUCCCUGUGUAUACUAAAAAAUUUAGUGGGACAUGCUGCUUUAUGUGGCUUUGUGUUUUCUUAUUAGUACUUAUUUUAUAUUCCUAAUUGUACAUUUUAAGCAGCAAAUGACCUUGCAGCAAAAGUGUCUUGGUGUGAGAUACAAAAUGAAUGAAAAACAACCACACCUAUGCUUUUGUCACUCAACCUAAACUACUCUUCAUGACCUGGAAAUGUUUUAUACUAAUGGGAAACUUUCUGUCCUUAGCCUUAUAACUUCAGAUCCUUGUAUGAAUGGGUUUGGUGGUUUUUCUAUUAUAUAAAUUAUAGAUUGCAAGUACAGUGGGACAGUACAAAUCGUGGAAAUUGGUAAAAUUAAAGUUGGAUGAUGAAGUGUCCAAAGGCAACUGAAAUAUGGCAUGUUUCAAAUAAUGUUUUCCUUGCUCAUGUAACUUGGAGAAUUCACUCUAUUUGAUUUUGGGUUUCAAAGCAUUAGUGUUAAAAUUAGAGGUAGAUUUUCUGCCUGCUUACAAGGCAAAUACAUAUUUAUCUUAUUAAAGAGGUUAUAAGCUUUUUUUUUUUAAGCUUUAGUUUUUAAUACCAAUGGUGUAUUGUGGCUCUAACAUACACAGGCUUAAAUAAUUUCCUUUUCAUUUAAACUCACUGUGUACCAAAUCUUAUGAAAAGAUAAUUCUAGAAACUGUCUUAAUUUUCCAACAAGUUGUCUUAAUUUCAUUUUCCCCUUUCCAAAUUUUCUGUUACCACUGACCUUUUGUUUUAAAGUACUCCUUUAAAACAAAAAAGGGUGUGUUUAUGUGCUGUGACAGUAAAAAUGAAAAAGAACAAGUUUCCCUAAUAGGUGGCUAUAAAUGUCCUAUAGGCUUGUGUUACCACUAAAAAAUAA